rnacentral:rRNA from 1 species
CCCUUAGAUGUUCUGGGCCGCACACGCGCUACACUGAAGGAGGCAGCGUGUACUCCUGGAUCGAAAGAUUUGGGUAACCCGCGAAUCUCCUUCGUGCUAGGGAUUGAGGUUUGCAAUUAUCCUUCAUGAACGAGGAAUUCCCAGUAAGUGCAAGUCAUAAGCUUGCGCUGACUGCGUCCCUGCCCUUUGUACACACCGCCCGUCGCUACUACCGAUUGAAUGAUUUAGUGAGGACUUCGGACUGGGACCGAUGCGGCUUUCGGGCUGCGUCGGUAUUCUGGAAAGAUGUCCAAACUGUAUCAUUUAGAGGAAGUAAAAGUCGUAACA